rnacentral:rRNA from 1 species
UGCAAGUCGAACGGCAGCACGGAGAGCUUGCUCUCUGGUGGCGGGUGGCGAACGGGUGAGUAAUAUAUCGGAACGUAUCCAAUAAUGGGGGAUAACGAGUCGAAAGAUUCGCUAAUACCGCAUACGCCCUACGGGGGAAAGCAGGGGAUCGUAAGACCUUGCGUUAAUGGAGCGGCCGAUAUCUGAUUAGCUUGUUGGUGAGGUAAAGGCUCACCAAGGCGACGAUCAGUAGCUGGUUUGAGAGAACGACCAGCCACACUGGAACUGAGACACGGUCCAGACUCCUACGGGAGGCAGCAGUGGGGAAUUUUGGACAAUGGGGGCAACCCUGAUCCAGCCAUUCCGCGUGAGUGAAGAAGGCCUUCGGGUUGUAAAGCUCUUUCGCAAGGGAAGAAAACUUAUGAUCGAAUAAAUCAUGAGGUUGACGGUACCUUGAUAAGAAGCACCGGCUAACUACGUGCCAGCAGCCGCGGUAAUACGUAGGGUGCGAGCGUUAAUCGGAAUUACUGGGCGUAAAGCGUGCGCAGGCGGUUUUGUAAGUCGGAUGUGAAAUCCCCGGGCUCAACCUGGGAACUGCGUUCGAAACUGCAAGGCUAGAGUGUGUCAGAGGGGGGUAGAAUUCCACGUGUAGCAGUGAAAUGCGUAGAGAUGUGGAGGAAUACCAAUGGCGAAGGCAGCCCCCUGGGAUAACACUGACGCU